rnacentral:rRNA from 1 species
UACGUAGGGUGCAAGCGUUAAUCGGAAUUACUGGGCGUAAAGCGUGCGCAGGCGGUUGUGUAAGACAGAUGUGAAAUCCCCGGGCUCAACCUGGGAACUGCAUUUGUGACUGCACGGCUGGAGUGCGGCAGAGGGGGAUGGAAUUCCGCGUGUAGCAGUGAAAUGCGUAGAUAUGCGGAGGAACACCGAUGGCGAAGGCAAUCCCCUGGGCCUGCACUGACGCUCAUGCACGAAAGCGUGGGAGCAAACAG